rnacentral:rRNA from 1 species
ACGCGUGGAACCUUACCAGGUCUUGACAUCCUCUGACACUCCUAGAGAUAGGACGUUCCCCUUCGGGGGACAGAGUGACAGGUGGUGCAUGGUUGUCGUCAGCUCGUGUCGUGAGAUGUUGGGUUAAGUCCCGCAACGAGCGCAACCCUUGAUCUUAGUUGCCAGCAUUCAGUUGGGCACUCUAAGGUGACUGCCGGUGACAAACCGGAGGAAGGUGGGGAUGACGUCAAAUCAUCAUGCCCCUUAUGACCUGGGCUACACACGUGCUACAAUGGAUGGUACAAAGGGCUGCAAGACCGCGAGGUUAAGCGAAUCCCAUAAAACCAUUCUCAGUUCGGAUUGCAGGCUGCAACUCGCCUGCAUGAAGCUGGAAUCGCUAGUAAUCGCGGAUCAGCAUGCCGCGGUGAAUACGUUCCCGGGCCUUGCACUCACCGCCCGU